AGCUCCAAUAGCGUAUAUUAAAGUUGCUGCAGUUAAAAAGCUCGUAGUUGCAUUUCCGAGGCAAGGGAUUAGUCCGACCUUUGGUGGGUAUUUAAUCCUCUUGCCUCGUCCUUGAGUGGUGCUUCUUGGUAUUAAGUUAUCGAGGAGAUAGCCGCUCAUCGUUUACUGUGAGAAAAUUAGAGUGUUCAAAGCAGGCUUAUGCCGUUGAAUAUAUUAGCAUGGAAUAAUAAGAUAGGACCUCGGUACUAUUGUGUUGGUUUGAGAACCAAGGUAAUGAUGAAGAGGGACAGUUGGGGGUAUUCGUAUUCAGUUGUCAGAGGUGAAAUUCUUAGAUUUACGGAAGACGAACUACUGCGAAAGCAUUUACCAAGGAUGUUUUCA
rnacentral:rRNA from 1 species